GACGAACGCUGGCGGCGUGCCUAAUACAUGCAAGUAGAACGCUGAAGAGAGGAGCUUGCUCUUCUUGGAUGAGUUGCGAACGGGUGAGUAACGCGUAGGUAACCUGCCUGGUAGCGGGGGAUAACUAUUGGAAACGAUAGCUAAUACCGCAUAAAAUGGAUUAUCGCAUGAUAAUCCAUUGAAAGGUGCAAAUGCAUCACUACCAGAUGGACCUGCGUUGUAUUAGCUAGUUGGUGGGGUAACGGCUCACCAAGGCGACGAUACAUAGCCGACCUGAGAGGGUGAUCGGCCACACUGGGACUGAGACACGGCCCAGACUCCUACGGGAGGCAGCAGUAGGGAAUCUUCGGCAAUGGACGGAAGUCUGACCGAGCAACGCCGCGUGAGUGAAGAAGGUUUUCGGAUCGUAAAGCUCUGUUGUAAGAGAAGAACGAGUGUGAGAGUGGAAAGUUCACACUGUGACGGUAUCUUACCAGAAAGG
rnacentral:rRNA from 1 species